UACGAAGGGGGCUAGCGUUGCUCGGAAUCACUGGGCGUAAAGGGUGCGUAGGCGGGUCUUUAAGUCAGAGGUGAAAUCCUGGAGCUCAACUCCAGAACUGCCUUUGAUACUGAAGAUCUUGAGUUCGGGAGAGGUGAGUGGAACUGCGAGUGUAGAGGUGAAAUUCGUAGAUAUUCGCAAGAACACCAGUGGCGAAGGCGGCUCACUGGCCCGAUACUGACGCUGAGGCGCGAAAGCGUGGGGAGCAAACAGGAUUAGAAACCCG
rnacentral:rRNA from 1 species